rnacentral:rRNA from 1 species
GAACGUGGGGAAGUGAAACAUCUCAGUACCCACAGGAAGAGAAAACAACCGUGAUUCCGUGAGUAGUGGCGAGCGAAAGCGGAAGAGGCUAAACCAUGGGUGUGUGAUAGCCGGCAGGUGUUGCAUUCGUGGGGUUGUGGGGUUCAUUUUGUCAAUACUGCCGUGUUGGCCAACAGUAAGAAAUCACAGGGUUAGUGGAAGUGGUCUGGAACGGCCUGUCGUAGAGGGUGAGAAUCCCGUACACGAAAACUUUGUGACUGUUGUAAUGGAAACCCAAGUAGCACCGGGCCCGUGAAAUCUGGUGUGAAUCUGUCGGGACCACCCGAUAAGCCUGAAUACUCCCUGGUGACCGAUAGCGGACUAGUACCGUGAGGGAAAGGUGAAAAGUACCCCGGGAGGGGAGUGAAAUAGUACCUGAAACCGUGCGCUUACAAUCCGUCAGAGCCUUCGAGCAGUUUACUGCUGGGGGUGAUGGCGUGCCUUUUGAAGAAUGAGCCUGCGAGUUAGUGGCAUGUCGCGAGGUUAACCCGUGUGGGGUAGCCGUAGCGAAAGCGAGUCCGAAUAGGGCGAGUCAGUGGCAUGCUCUAGACCCGAAGCGGAGUGAUCUACCCAUGGCCAGGUUGAAGCGACGGUAAGACGUCGUGGAGGACCGAACCCACUUAGGUUGAAAACUGAGGGGAUGAGUUGUGGGUAGGGGUGAAAGGCCAAUCAAACUCCGUGAUAGCUGGUUCUCCCCGAAAUGCAUUUAGGUGCAGCGUCGCGUGUUUCUCACCGGAGGUAGAGCUACUGGAUGGUCUAGGGGGCCCACAAGCUUACCGAAAUCAGCCAAACUCCGAAUGCCGGUGAGUGAGAGCGCGGCAGUGAGACUGCGGGCGAUAAGGUUCGUAGUCGAGAGGGAAACAGCCCAGAUCGCCAGCUAAGGUCCCUAAGCGUGUACUAAGUGGAAAAGGAUGUGGGGUCGCGAAGACAACCAGGAGGUUGGCUUAGAAGCAGCCACCCUUGAAAGAGUGCGUAAUAGCUCACUGGUCAAGUGAUCCUGCGCCGACAAUGUAGCGGGGCUCAAGUACACCACCGAAGCUGCGGCAUUCACGCAAUAGCCCCC